GAUGAACGCUGGCGGCGUGCUUAACACAUGCAAGUCGAACGGGAAAUAUUUCAUUGAGACUUCGGUGGAUUUGAUUUAUUUCUAGUGGCGGACGGGUGAGUAACGCGUGGGUAACCUGCCUUAUACAGGGGGAUAACAGUCAGAAAUGGCUGCUAAUACCGCAUAAGCGCACAGAGCUGCAUGGCUCAGUGUGAAAAACUCCGGUGGUAUAAGAUGGACCCGCGUUGGAUUAGCUAGUUGGUGGGGUAACGGCCCACCAAGGCGACGAUCCAUAGCCGGCCUGAGAGGGUGAACGGCCACAUUGGGACUGAGACACGGCCCAGACUCCUACGGGAGGCAGCAGUGGGGAAUAUUGCACAAUGGGGGAAACCCUGAUGCAGCGACGCCGCGUGAAGGAAGAAGUAUCUCGGUAUGUAAACUUCUAUCAGCAGGGAAGAUAGUGACGGUACCUGACUAAGAAGCCCGGGCUAACUACGUG
rnacentral:rRNA from 1 species